GAAGCUGACCAGACAGUCGCCGCUUCGUCGUCGUCCCUUUCGGGGGAGACGGGCGGAGGGGAGGAAAGUCCGGGCUCCACAGGGCAGGGUGCCAGGUAACGCCUGGGGGGGAAACCCACGACCAGUGCAACAGAGAGCAAACCGCCGAUGGCCCGCGCAAGCGGGAUCAGCAAGGCCAAAUAGGGGUUCACAUGGUACGGCCCGUACUGAACCCGGGUAGGCUGCUUGAGCCAGUGAGCGAUUGCUGGCCUAGAUGAAUGACUGUCCACGACAGAACCCGGCUUAUCGGUCAGCUUCAACU
rnacentral:RNase_P_RNA from 1 species